rnacentral:lncRNA from 1 species
GAGCUGCAGCUGCAUGUGUUGCAUAUCAACUCGAAAAGGUACAUGUUUAAAUUCUACAAUCUUAAUAUUGAGUGAGAAACAAUAAUAUCUUACAAUAUUCGUUCGCUAAUGGUAUUUUAGUUCGAAAUCGCACUCAACAACAAACCUGCAGCCCCAUCUACGACAAAACCUUACAAAACCAGAACAUAAUUGGGGCAGGAUAAACGGAUCAUCGUUCCCCACACUUAUUUUAAUCCAGGCUGAUAGUGUUGUUCUUAUCAUUGACUACACAAUUGGUGGUCUUAGAAAUUUGAAAUUAUUUACAUAUCUAGACUAAGAUGGCAUAUAUCUUCUAUACAAAAUUCUAACCAAGGGAUUGGCAAGUUUUAACUUGAUCCAAAAUCUUCCUAGCUCAAAUUGUGGCAUUGCCGAAAAUUAUUCAAACCAACCUUAUCAUGUAAUAAUUACAUGCAGCUUUUUGACUAUGUUAAUUUUUUUUUUUUAACUAAGGAGUUUUUCCCACCUGCAAAGAUUGACUAUGUUGAUUGUUUUGUAUAGAAACUGAAAUUUGAGGGCAAUGAUAAGAUUAGAUAAGUCAAGAAGAGAAGAUAUGCUAAGAAAUAGGCCAAAGAGAGUUUUAUACCAAAUCGUCUCCAGGAUCCAAACUCGAAAAUUUCUUAUUAAAGCAUUAAACAGCUCUUUUCAUCUUCUGCAGAUCCAGUAUAUAUGUACAGGUACCAUCUCCUGAUUCUAGAUCAUCAUCUGUUGAAGUUAUUAGGCGCGCAUUUAAGGGUGAAGGUUUUGGUGGAAAACCUUCUAAAGAUGUUGCCAAAGAUUUAUCUACAUCUGGAUUUUUGGUGGAGUCUGCAACUAGAAGAUGUUAUGGAUAUUGUUUUUGAUUAUUAUUGUUGGUGAAACGUAAAGGAAUCAUGAUGACUGAACAAGUAAAUUAUCUUUGGUCUAGAAAAUGGGUACGGUUGAAGGCAGUUUUUUAGACUGCAUGGAGCAUGUGAAAAAGAAAGAGAGAAAA